rnacentral:rRNA from 1 species
GCGAGAAUCUUCCGCAAUGGGCGAAAGUCUGACGGAGCAACGCCGCGUGAGUGAUGAAGGUUUUCGGAUCGUAAAGCUCUGUUGCCAGGGAAGAACGCUUGGGAGAGUAACUGCUCUCACGGUGACGGUACCUGACAAGAAAGCCCCGGCUAACUACGUGCCAGCAGCCGCGGUAAAAAAAAAAA